ensembl:miRNA gmo-mir-11275 gmo-mir-11275
CCAGCCCCCGACCCAACAGCCAGCCGGUCCUGCUGGCUGUUGGGUCAGGGGCGGAGA